GUACGUAGGGGGCGAGCGUUGUCCGGAUUUAUUUGGGUACGGUAAAGAGCGUGGUAGGACGGCUUCGGGUAAGGUCUGAUUCGUGGAAAUCCUGAACGGCUCAACCUCCGGGUACGUGCGAAUCGGAUACUGCCGGGCUAGAGGGUGGUAGAGGCGAGUGGAAUUCCCGGUGUAGCGGUGAAAUGCGCAGAUAUCGGGAG
rnacentral:rRNA from 1 species